GUUAUAACCGGCGAUUUCCGAAUGGGGAAACCCAGUGUGUUUCGACACACUAUCAUUAACUGAAUCCAUAGGUUAAUGAGGCGAACCGGGGGAACUGAAACAUCUAAGUACCCCGAGGAAAAGAAAUCAACCGAGAUUCCCCCAGUAGCGGCGAGCGAACGGGGAGGAGCCCAGAGCCUGAAUCAGUGUGUGUGUUAGUGGAAGCGUCUGGAAAGGCGUGCGAUACAGGGUGACAGCCCCGUACACAAAAAUGCACAUAUUGUGAGCUCGAUGAGUAGGGCGGGACACGUGGUAUCCUGUCUGAAUAUGGGGGGACCAUCCUCCAAGGCUAAAUACUCCUGACUGACCGAUAGUGAACCAGUACCGUGAGGGAAAGGCGAAAAGAACCCCGGCGAGGGGAGUGAAAAAGAACCUGAAACCGUGUACGUACAAGCAGUGGGAGCCUCUUAAUGGGGUGACUGCGUACCUUUUGUAUAAUGGGUCAGCGACUUAUAUUCUGUAGCAAGGUUAACCGAAUAGGGGAGCCGAAGGGAAACCGAGUCUUAACUGGGCGUUAAGUUGCAGGGUAUAGACCCGAAACCCGGUGAUCUAGCCAUGGGCAGGUUGAAGGUUGGGUAACACUAACUGGAGGACCGAACCGACUAAUGUUGAAAAAUUAGCGGAUGACUUGUGGCUGGGGGUGAAAGGCCAAUCAAACCGGGAGAUAGCUGGUUCUCCCCGAAAGCUAUUUAGGUAGCGCCUCGUGAAUUCAUCUCCGGGGGUAGAGCACUGUUUCGGCAAGGGGGUCAUCCCGACUUACCAACCCGAUGCAAACUGCGAAUACCGGAGAAUGUUAUCACGGGAGACACACGGCGGGUGCUAACGUCCGUCGUGAAGAGGGAAACAACCCAGACCGCCAGCUAAGGUCCCAAAGUCAUGGUUAAGUGGGAAACGAUGUGGGAAGGCCCAGACAGCCAGGAUGUUGGCUUAGAAGCAGCCAUCAUUUAAAGAAAGCGUAAUAGCUCACUGGUCGAGUCGGCCUGCGCGGAAGAUGUAACGGGGCUAAACCAUGCACCGAAGCUGCGGCAGCGACACUAUGUGUUGUUGGGUAGGGGAGCGUUCUGUAAGCCUGUGAAGGUGGCCUGUGAGGGUUGCUGGAGGUAUCAGAAGUGCGAAUGCUGACAUAAGUAACGAUAAAGCGGGUGAAAAGCCCGCUCGCCGGAAGACCAAGGGUUCCUGUCCAACGUUAAUCGGGGCAGGGUGAGUCGACCCCUAAGGCGAGGCCGAAAGGCGUAGUCGAUGGGAAACAGGUUAAUAUUCCUGUACUUGGUGUUACUGCGAAGGGGGGACGGAGAAGGCUAUGUUGGCCGGGCGACGGUUGUCCCGGUUUAAGCGUGUAGGCUGGUUUUCCAGGCAAAUCCGGAAAACCAAGGCUGAGGCGUGAUGACGAGGCACUACGGUGCUGAAGCGACAAAUGCCCUGCUUCCAGGAAAAGCCUCUAAGCAUCAGGUAACAUCAAAUCGUACCCCAAACCGACACAGGUGGUCAGGUAGAGAAUACCAAGGCGCUUGAGAGAACUCGGGUGAAGGAACUAGGCAAAAUGGUGCCGUAACUUCGGGAGAAGGCACGCUGAUAUGUAGGUGAAGCGACUUGCUCGUGGAGCUGAAAUCAGUCGAAGAUACCAGCUGGCUGCAACUGUUUAUUAAAAACACAGCACUGUGCAAACACGAAAGUGGACGUAUACGGUGUGACGCCUGCCCGGUGCCGGAAG
rnacentral:rRNA from 1 species